rnacentral:rRNA from 1 species
CCUACGGGAGGCAGCAGUGAGGAAUAUUGGUCAAUGGACGAGAGUCUGAACCAGCCAAGUAGCGUGAAGGAUGACUGCCCUAUGGGUUGUAAACUUCUUUUAUAAAGGAAUAAAACGAGGCACGUGUGCCUUUUUGCAUGUACUUUAUGAAUAAGCAUCGGCUAACUCCGUGCCAGCAGCCGCGGUAAUACGGAGGAUCCGAGCGUUAUCCGGCUUUAUUUGGUUUAAAGGGAGCGUAGAUGGGUUGUUAAGUCAGGUGUGAAAGUUUGCGGCUCAACCGUAAAAUUGCAAUUGAGACUGGCAGUCUUGAGUACAGUUGAGGUAGGCGGAAUUCGUGGUAUAGCGGUGAAAUGCUUAGAUAUCACGAAGAACCCCGAUUGCGAAGGCAGCUUACUAAACUGUGACUGACAUUGAUGCUCGAAAGUGUGGGUAUCAAACAGGAUUAGAUACCCCUGUAGUC